GACAGAGGGGGCAAGCGUUGCUCGGAAUUACUGGGCGUAAAGGGCGCGUAGGCGGGAUGGCAAGUCGGUCGUGAAAUCCCUCGGCUCAACCGAGGAACGUCGAUCGAUACUGCUGUUCUUGAGGAUUGCAGAGGAGACUGGAAUUCCCGGUGUAGCGGUGGAAUGCGUAGAUAUCGGGAAGAACACCGGUGGCGAAGGCGGCUCGCUGGGCCAAUGCUGACGCUGAGGCGCGAAAGCGUGGGGAGCAAACAGG
rnacentral:rRNA from 1 species